GAUGAACGCUGGCGGCGUGCUUAACACAUGCAAGUCGAACGAGAACGGAUUAUAGCUUGCUAUAAUUGUCAGCUAAGUGGCGCACGGGUGAGUAGUGUAUAGGUAAUAUGCCUCUUACUAAGGGAUAACAAAUGGAAACGUUUGCUAAUACCUUAUACUCCUUAUUAACAUAAGUUAAUAAGGGAAAGAUUUAUUGGUAAGAGAUUAGCCUGUAUUGUAUCAGUUAGUUGGUGGGGUAAUGGCUUACCAAGACUAUGACAGAUAACUGGUUUGAGAGGCUGAUCAGGCACACUGGAACUGAGACACGGUCCGGACUCCGACGGGAGGCAGCAGUCGGGAAUAUUGCACCAUGGACGAAAGUCGGAUGCAGCAACGCCGCGUGGAGGAUGACACAGUUCGGUGCGUAAACUCCUUUUAUAUGAGAAGCUAAUGACGGUAUUAUAUGAAUAAGCACCGGCUAACUCCGUGCCAGCCGCCGCAGUAA
rnacentral:rRNA from 1 species